rnacentral:rRNA from 1 species
GACGAACGCUGGCGGCGUGCCUAAUACAUGCAAGUCGAACGCAUUUUCUUUCACCGUAGCUUGCUACACCGAAAGAAAAUGAGUGGCGAACGGGUGAGUAACACGUGGGUAACCUGCCCAUCAGCGGGGGAUAACACUUGGAAACAGGUGCUAAUACCGCAUAAUUCCAUUUACCGCAUGGUAGAUGGGUGAAAGGCGCUUUUGCGUCACUGAUGGAUGGACCCGCGGUGCAUUAGCUAGUUGGUGGGGUAACGGCCUACCAAGGCUGCGAUGCAUAGCCGACCUGAGAGGGUGAGCGGCCACACUGGGACUGAGACACGGCCCAGACUCCUACGGGAGGCAGCAGUAGGGAAUCUUCGGCAAUGGACGCAAGUCUGACCGAGCAACGCCGCGUGAGUGAAGAAGGUUUUCGGAUUGUAAAACUCUGUUGUUAGAGAAGAACAAGGAUGAGAGUGGAAAGUUCAUCCCUUGACGGUAUCUAACCAGAAAGCCACGGCUAACUACGUG